rnacentral:rRNA from 1 species
CGUGUAGGCGGUUCAUUAAGUCUGGUUUUAAAGACCGAGGCUCAACCUCGGGCAUGGACUGGAUACUGGUGAACUUGACCUCUGGAGAGGUAACUGGAAUUCCUGGUGUAGCGGUGGAAUGCGUAGAUACCAGGAGGAACACCAAUGGCGAAGGCAAGUUACUGGACAGAAGGUGACGAUGAGGCGCGAAAGUGUGGGGAGCGAACCGGA